GGGUGUGCGCGCGCGCCGUGGCAGAGCUCCCGUGAGGCAGUGCGGGCGCGGAGCGCGGCGGCGGGCUUCUGAGGGGCGCGAGCGGAGCUCCCAGAGGUUCAUCGUGACUGGGCAUUGAUUCUUGUGUGAAUGGCGGGUGCUGAUUCAGUCGUCGAGGAGAAGUCACAGAUUCUAAAAAAAUUUUGUCCUUCUUCUGAACUUAACAUAAAUUUAGUUUGUUUGUAUUUGGGUUUAUCUUCUAAAUAUCCACACCAUAAACCCAUAUCAGUUACAAAAAAGUUGUGCAGUUAAACCAUGAGUUGUGGAAAAGAGUUUGUGGAAACAUUAAAAAAAAUUGAUUAUCCCAAAGCUGAUAGUCUUAAUGGGGAAGAUUUUGACUGGUUGUUUGAGACUGUUGAAGAUGAAGCAUUUUUGAAGUGGUUUUGUGGGAAUGUGAAUGAACAGAAUGUAUUGUCCAAAGAAGAAUUGGAAGCUUUUAGCAUUCUUCAAAAAUCAGGCAAGCCCAUCCUAGAAGGAGCAGCACUGGAUGAAGUUCUUAAAACCUGUAAAACUUCUGAUUUGAAAACCUCUACCCUGGAUGACAAAGAGCUAGAGAAAUUGGAAGUUGAAGUUCAAGCUCUGCAGAAAUUGAAGAACCUAAAAAUUCAGCGACGUAAUAAAUGCCAGUUGAUGGCUUCGGUAACAAGCCACAAAUCUCUGAGGUUAAGUGCUAAAGAAGAAGAAGCCACUAAAAGGCUGAAGCAGAGUCAAGGAAUUCUAAAUGCGAUGAACACCAAGAUAAAUAAUGAACUUCAAGGUCUUACUGAUGGCGUUGCUAAAUUGAUGAUGUUUUUCAGACAUUCUAAUUUGGAUCAAGGGGCAAAUCCACUGGUGUUUUUAUCUCAGUUUUCCUUGGAAAAAUAUCUAAGCCAAGAAGAGCAAAGCACAGCAGCAUUAACUUUGUAUACCAAAAAACAGUUCUUUCAAGGUAUACAUGAAGUAGUUGAAAGUUCAAAUGAAGAAAAUUUUCAACUUUUAGAUAUACAAGCACCAUCUAUUUGUGAUAAUCAAGAAAUCCUUGAGGAGAGACGGCUGGAGAUGGUUAGGCUGCAGCUAGCAUACAUUUGUGCUCAACAUGAGUUAAUUCACUUGAAAGCAAGUAAUUUGAGCAUGAAGUCAAGUAUACAGUGGGCAGAGGAGAAUCUUCAUAGCCUCACUAGCAAGGCUCUUGGCAAAGAUAAUUUGGACGCUAAAAUUUCUAGCUUGAACAGUGAGAUUCUGAAACUUGAAGAACAAAUCACUUAUAUAAAAGAUAAAAGCUUGCCUGCUGUGGUAAAAGAGAAUGCCCAGUUAUUGAAUAUGCCAGUUGUAAAGGGAGAUUUUGAUCUACAGAUUGCUAAACAAGACUAUUAUACAGCAAGACAAGAGUUAGUUUUAAAUCAGUUGAUAAAGCAAAAGGCAUCAUUUGAACUUCUACAGUUAUCAUAUGAAAUUGAAUUGAGAAAGCAUUGGGACAUACAUCGUCAACUUGAAAAUUUGGUUCAAGAACUUAGUCAAAGUAAUGCGAUGCUCCGCCAGCGAUUAGAAAUGCUGACAGACCCGUCAGUAUGUCAGCAGAUAAAUCCAAGGAAUACCAUUGAUACCAAGGACUACUCUACUCAUAGGCUUUAUCAACUUUUAGAAGGAGAGAAUAAGAAAAAAGAAUUGUUUAUAACCCAUGGAAACCUGGAGGAGGUGGCUGAGAAAUUAAAACAGGAUGUUUCUUUAGUACAAGAUCAGUUGGCAGUAUCUACUCGAGAACAUUCUUUCUUUCUGUCCAAACUGAAUAAUGAUGUGGACGAGCUUUGUGAUACUUUGUAUCAAGGAGGAAAUCAGCUUUUGCUUAGUGACCAGGAGUUAACAGAGCAGUUUCAUCAAGUUGAAUCCCAGCUGAAUAAGUUGAAUCAUCUUCUUACUGAUGUUCUUGCUGAUGUGAAGACAAAAAGAAAAAUUUUGGCAUCUAAUAAACUGCAUCGAAUGGAAAGAGAAUUAUAUGUAUAUUUUUUAAAAGACGAAGAUUAUCUGAAAGAUAUUGUGGAGAACUUAGAAAACCAAUCAAAGAUUAAAGUUGUUGGUCUGGAAGAUUGAAGAUUAUUAAAAACGAAAUCUUUACUACAUAUGCUAUGUUUUAAUGUUUUCUAUAUUAGGGGGAAAACAUAGCUAAUAAACACUACUAAAAUUUUAAAUUUGAGGUCAAUGGAACAUUUCAUUUAAUUAAUUCAAGUAUUGUAUCGGUUUGGUUUUUUCCCUCAUAUAGUAUAUUUAUUCAAAGUACCAGUGCUUUCUAUGACUUGAACAUUUGCUUGGUGGGACCUAGUUCUGAUAACUUUUUACUUACAGGGAAAAAGCAUUAUUACGUAAUGCAAAUAUUUCUUAAUAGAAUUAGUUCAGUCGCUUUUACUUUUUUUUUUUUUUUUAGAAAUAGAAAAUUUCUACUGUGAAACAUUUUAAACCUUUGUAGAACUUUGAAUCAGCAUUGUUAAACCCUAAGGUGUUAAACACCUUAAUAUGGAAUAGCCAAGUACCCUCGUAUUUGACUAUACAGUAAAAUUCUAUAAAGUAAAAUACUCAAACUGUAUCCCCCCGUAAUUCCCUGCUGUAGACUUUGAGACUCUGAAUGUUCCUAUUUGUUCCACAAAGAAUGUUGGGUAUCCAUUGGCCAUUGUUCAUUUUAGCAUCUGGGUCCUGGGGACUUAGAAUUUCUGCAAGACAUCUUAGUGCUUUGACUUCAGUAUGACACAUUAUGAAUGAUUUUUAAAUGAAAUUUGAAAAUGCCAUAGAAGUGGCUGCUCAAAGGAUGUAUAGUCUAUUUUACCUGUUUUUCUGGAGGGAGAAUACUUAAAAGUUAGAUUGUAUCAGUUGGGGUACAAGUGUAUUAUUUGGACCAUUAGAAAUUAUUUUGAGUGGGAUAAAAUAAUUUGAAAUAGCUUAUUUAUCAGUCAUGACAUCAAGUGUUUCUUGAGUGCUUGAUUUAUAAGUGGCCUGUUACGUACUAUGUAAGCUCUGCAGAGGAAAAGGAGGAUCUAGAUAUUCAAGGAAUAUUCCUUAUUCAAGAAUAUUCCUGCUCCAGAAUAUAUUACUUUUUAAUAUGGAAUGCUAGUCUAAAAACUACACUUUUGUGGAAUUUUUUAGCUAUAACCAUCAGAAAAUGGGUAUGCUUAGGUGACAGAUAAGCCCUCAUAAUUUUUAUAAUCUGUUGAACAAAAUUAUUUUGCCAGUUAUUAUAUUUGUACAUUAUUUAAAAAUGUAUAUUUAUUAAGUAGAUCUAAAUAUGCUUGAAAUUUCUAACAAUCUUGUCUAAGAUUUUUCUCUUAGCUCCUCAUGGGUGACUUUUAUUCCUUUUUUUUCUUUCUCUAUUCUACAGUGGAAUAGAGAAUUUACUUAAAAUUUUUCUUUUCUCCAGUAAUGUGCGAAAAUAUGUCACCCAGUUUCCUGGCUCAUGGAACAGCACAUUCUGUUUAGAUUAGUGCCAUGUGUGUUAGGUGUAUGACCAGCUACUUGAUGAUUUGUACUGUCCCUUCCACACCUUCGCCCACUCAGCCCAGGGGCGAGUACAGCUGAGAGGUGUGCAUGGAAUGAUGUCAGGUUGUGUGUCUAUCAUAAUUACCCAAGUCCAUUAAAAAUGUUUAUGUUACUAGAUUUGUACAGUUGAAGAUUAUAACAGCCAUUUGUUUCAAACCUCAGGAAGUAUAUGAAUAGAUUGCUUGCUUCAAAAUUGGUUAACUAGAAAUUGUAUGCUUUGUUACCUGUUUACCAUAAUAUUCCAGUUGAGUCUCUAACCAUUUUGCCUCCUUCUUGCUAUUCUAUUGUAUCGGUAACUAUGGAGAUAAUUGAUUCCUAUUUUACGUGGUCAUUACAGAGAGUGAUUUUUAUGAAUGUCUCUGUAUGUAACAUUUUUCAAAUAACUUCUUAUUUUGAAGUACAAUUAAUAUAUGGAUAUUAUGUUUAUCUUACAUUUAGGAUUUAUGAAAAUGGAAAAUUAUGAGGCAUUUGUAGGCUUUGAUCCCUGUAAGAUACCGCUUUCCAGUGUUGCUCAGAAGAUUAUGUCUGCUGUGUACUCAGGUGACUUAGUGGAGUCUAAGCAUUGGAGAGGGGUGAAAAGAAGGUAACCAUCAUCCUGACUGGCAGUCACCUCCACUUCCUGAUGAUGGGCAUUUUCUCCAGAGGCUUUUUUGGCAGAGAUUAUGUGUACGCAACACCAGUGUGUCCUGGGGAGCAGGAGCAGGCUGCAUGGCUCAGUCUCCUUGCAGUCAGGUGUGACCCGGGUUCCUGUCUGUGGGACGUGUGCCCAGGUGGUGUGUGCCAUUUCCAGGGUAGGCCCAAAGACAUUCAGCUUGCUUCCCAGCUGGCCUCUUUCCUUCCACCCAGUAGGAACCCCAAACGACUCCUUUCAAACUCUGCAAAUGCUAACGGUGUCCUAGAGGAUUGUGGAACAUGUUGGAAACUGCAGUCCUGGAGGGACUUCACAAAAGAUGUGUAACCAGCUGAGUACACUCACUCAGAACAUGAAAGGGAAAUAAACUUUAUUCUUUAA